CCCUUAGACGUUCUGGGCCGCACGCGCGCUACACUGACCAGUGCAACAAGCAUCCGUCCUUGGCCGACAGGCCCGGGCAAUCUUUGAACGCUGGUCGUGAUGGGGAUAGACUUUUGCAAUUUUUGGUCUUCAACGAGGAAUUCCUAGUAAACGCAAGUCAUCAACUUGCAUUGAUUACGUCCCUGCCCUUUGUACACACCGCCCGUCGCACCUACCGAUUGAAUGGUCCGGUGAAGCCUCCGGAUUGGCGCGCACCUCGGUGCCGCCGAGAAGUUGGCUAAACCUUACCAUUUAGAGGUAGGUGAAGUCGUAACA
rnacentral:rRNA from 1 species